ensembl:lncRNA
GUCAGAUAUACCUUGAAAAUCUGAAAAAGCCUUCAGAAAAAAACAGCAGAAAGCUGAAAGGGUGGUGUACUCUAACUAACCACAGCCAUAUGGCUCAGUGUCAUGCUUUUCUUGCUCUUGGACUUGGGUUUCUCCUCACUUACAGCAGCGUAUCGACAAAAAAACUGAGAGUGCAGGUUCCUUACUCAACUAUUACCAUGUUUUCUAAAUGGGGCUGCAGCUCUGCUGAGUUAAGUGUGGAGGAGAUCGAACAGCAGCUGAGAAAUACCCCGUUCGUACACCACUGUCCGCAAGUACCCCCACAGGAAUGGUCCCCCAUCCCCCUCCCCCUGACUAGGGUUUAAUAUCUGGACAGCGAGCUUACAGGCUUUGCUGUCCGGAGACAGAGAACAGCGGGACCCUGCGAAUGACGUAUUCAGUGGCAAACACAGUUUUUUCCGCCCCGUCUGGAAUUCCAGUUGCUCGCUGGGAAUGAAUGACUUCUCUUUACACCGAAGCCCUCGCGGCUGAGAGCAUGGCAGCUCUGAACGCCGAGCUUAUUUAAGAAGAACCGGUUUCGUCGACUCCCCGAGGGUCUGCAUAGGCGAAGCUCGUUCCUCGGAAAAGAGAGAAAGUUCGAAUGGAACUUGGAUCUUGAGAUCACGGGCGUCUUUCUUCCGGGCGACGGGCUGUCACUGCGGAGCGUGCCGUGUACGAUCAGAGCAACGCCACAAAAGCGCAGCUGAAUUGCAAUCGAAUUCCUCAAGCAUUAAGUCAGAGACUUUGGGGGAAGUGCAAGCAGAUGCCCGGCGAAGACCAACGGAGAGGAAUCCGCGAUGACCUUGAUUCAACAUCACCACUGCCAACAAGCACCCAGCACCUUAUCCAAGGGAAACCUGAUGAACACGGUGAUCAGACCAAGGUGCCUGCUCCAGAGAGUGCUGACAAGCCUGCUGAGGACAUCUCUGGGGAAGCCUCUUUGGAUACCUCUGAAGAGCCUGCUCCAGGCAACAUCGAGGGGCCCGCUCUUGGCAUAUUUGAGGAACCCGCUUUGGGCAUCUUCGAGGAGCCAACUCUAGGUAUCUCUGAUGAGCCUGUUCCACGUAUCUGCGAAGACCCCACUCUAGGGAGCCCUGAGGAUCUCCAGACAGCUCCGAGGAGGCCGCUGCUCCCUUGACUGCGCCGAGGAGCCUCCGGAGUGCAAGGAGGAUGCUGCUUGAAGAUGUGUACUUCUUUGUCCUUUAGGUGUAGUUACAUUGUUUCUCUGUGUUCUUAUCCUUUUCAGCCACCCAAACCCCACUCCAAGAAGACUUCUAUGAACAUGCUGACCUGGUAAAAUAUUGUGAAUACUCUAAGCCUGUGUGAAAGUAUGUUACGUUGAAUUUCUUCAUUUUCUUCAUGGUUCUGAAGAUCCUCAAUUAGGCAGAUUUUGCCCAAAGAGACUAGUUCCGGCGCUGCAGAACCUGUUCUGGACUGUACUGUGGAACCUGGCUCCCUCUGCUCCCUACUGUGUUUUAGCGCCAACCUAAUGCCGCACCCCGAAUCGUGCCCCAUACUAGCCCCAGUAGUCGGCCCGCUGGUGAACUUCAGGGCCCAUACAUUUUCUCUCUACAAUUGUGACUGAGCUUUCCCUUUGUAAAAGACAAGAAGUUAAAUUCUUGCCCUGAAUUAAACAAAAAAUAAUAUCAAAACAUUUUAAAUUCAAGGCUGAUUAAUGUACUUGCUGUAAUUCAAAAUAUAUGACAAAACACUUGUUUUAAUGAGUAUAUUUGAAAGAGAAACACUGAUGCGCCAAUCUGCAGCCAGGUUGCACCCCAUUCCCCAGACUGGUGGAUCAUUAAGGGGAAUCAAGCAUCAGAUGCAGCCAGUCUGUUGGUUAAAAAAGACUAUAGAGAGAACUUGGAGGUGAGAGAAGUUUGCAGCUUUCAAUACCGGGUGUAAAGUUAGCGUUCUGUUAUAACGGGGACUUCCUCCUCCUGUGCCCUUAAGGUGGAGUUCCUUCCCCAAGAAUAUCAGGGAGUCUCCCAGUCUGGGCACCUUUAAAUCCAGGCUCAAGAUCCACAUGUUCACAUCGCUUUCUGAUAAUACAUUUAAAUGCUCCAUUUGUCCUUUCAUUUGUUUGACUAAUAUUUUAUCUUCAUAAAAUGUUGCUGCUUUUGUUUCAUUAUUUACAUUUA